GCCCUUCGAAUCACACAGGACUAAAAGGAGCAGGUAUCAAGCACACACUCUUGUAGCUCACAACGCCUUGCUUAACCACACCCCCACGGGAGACAGCAGUAACAAAAAUUAAGCCAUAAACGAAAGUUUGACUAAGUCAUAUUGACCAGGGUUGGUAAAUCUCGUGCCAGCCACCGCGGUCAUACGAUUGACCCAAGCUAACAGGAGUACGGCGUAAAGCGUGUUAAAGCAUCAUACUAAAGAGAGUUAAAUUUUAAUUAAACUGUAAAAAGCCAUAAUUAUAACAAAAAUAAAUGACGAAAGUAACCCUACAAUAGCUGAUACACCAUAGCUAAGACCCAAACUGGGAUUAGAUACCCCACUAUGCUUAGCCCUAAAAACAAAUAAUUAUAAAAACAAAAUUAUUCGCCAGAGUACUACCGGCAACAGCCCGAAACUCAAAGGACUUGGCGGUGCUUUAUACCCUUCUAGAGGAGCCUCUUCUAUAAUCGAUAAACCCCGAUAAACCUCACCAAUCCUUGCUAAUACAGUCUAUAUACCGCCAUCUUCAGCAAACCCUAAAAAAGGGACAAAAGUAAGCUCAAUAAUAACACAUAAAGACGUUAGGUCAAGGUGUAACCUAUGGAGUGGGAAGAAAUGGGC
rnacentral:rRNA from 1 species